AAAGUUAAAUUUUGUGUUUGUUUUAGUCAAUAUUCGGAGCUGGGAUGGAUUCUGCUCGCUAUGGUGGAGUAGGGGAGGAAUGGGAGGAAAUUCAGGUUACCCUAAUACCAGAGGAUGGGGAGUGUAAACCUAUUCAGAAACCAAGACAAGCUCCAAAAAUGAUAGAACUUCAUGAGGAACUGAAGAAAGUGGAAGUUCUACGGGAAAGCGGAAGCAAAAAAUGUGAUUACUACAAAGCAACUCAGGGGUUUGAGUGUGUACCGUACUAUUAAAU